AAGCUCGUAGUUGAAUUUCGGGGUUCUACCGUUGGUCGGGCUAACCAGUCUGUACUAGCGUGUAGAAUUCCUACCUUCUGGGGAACCAUUAUGUUAUUAAUUUAGCGUGGUGGGAAACCAGGACUUUUACCUUGAAAAAAUUAGAGUGUUCAAAGCAGGCUUACGUCUGAAUACAUUAGCAUGGAAUAAUAAAAUAGGACGGUGGUCCUGUUUUGUUGGUUUCUGAAUCACCGUAAUGAUUAAUAGGGAUAGUUGGG
rnacentral:rRNA from 1 species